rfam:Oryza sativa Japonica Group DNA, chromosome 9, cultivar: Nipponbare, complete sequence.
AAAAAAAAAAACCCCGAGUUUUCGUGUCCAACGUUUGACCAUUCGUCUUAUUUAAAAAAAUUAUAAAAAAAUUAAAAAUAUAAGUCACGUAUAAAGUAUUAAUCAUGUUUUAUCAUCUAACAACAAUGAAAAUACUAAUUAUAAAAAAAUUUCAUAUAAGACGGACAGUCAACAGUCAAACGUUGGGCAUGGAAACCCAAAGUUUGUCUUUUU